rnacentral:rRNA from 1 species
AGAUUGAACGCUGGCGGCAGGCCUAACACAUGCAAGUCGAGCGGCAGCACGGGUACUUGUACCUGGUGGCGAGCGGCGGACGGGUGAGUAAUGCCUAGGAAUCUGCCUGGUAGUGGGGGAUAACGCUCGGAAACGGACGCUAAUACCGCAUACGUCCUACGGGAGAAAGCAGGGGACCUUCGGGCCUUGCGCUAUCAGAUGAGCCUAGGUCGGAUUAGCUAGUUGGUGGGGUAAUGGCUCACCAAGGC